rnacentral:rRNA from 1 species
UACGUAGGGAGCAAGCGUUGUCCGGAAUCAUUGGGCGUAAAGCGCGCGUAGGUGGCCUCAUAAGUCCGCUGUGAAAGUCAAAAGGCUCAACCUUUGAAAGCCGGUGGAUACUGUGAGGCUAGAGUACGGAAGAGGCGAGUGGAAUUCCUGGUGUAGCGGUGGAAUGCGCAGAUAUCAGGAGGAACACCAAUGGCGAAGGCAGCUCGCUGGGACGUGACUGACGCUGAGACGCGAAAGCGUGGGGAGCAAACAGG